rnacentral:rRNA from 1 species
UGGGGAAUUUUGGACAAUGGGCGAAAGCCUGAUCCAGCAAUGCCGCGUGUGUGAAGAAGGCCUUCGGGUUGUAAAGCACUUUUGUCCGGAAAGAAAUCCUUGGCUCUAAUACAGCCGGGGGAUGACGGUACCGGAAGAAUAAGCACCGGCUAACUACGUGCCAGCAGCCGCGGUAAUACGUAGGGUGCAAGCGUUAAUCGGAAUUACUGGGCGUAAAGCGUGCGCAGGCGGUUUGCUAAGACCGAUGUGAAAUCCCCGGGCUCAACCUGGGAACUGCAUUGGUGACUGGCAGGCUAGAGUAUGGCAGAGGGGGGUUAGAAUUCCACGUGUAGCAGUGAAAUGCGUAGAGAUGUGGAGGAAUACCGAUGGCGAGGGCAGCCCCCUGGGCCAAUACUGACGCUCAUGCACGAAAGCGUGGGGGAGCAAAACAGGAUUAGAUACCCCUGGUAGUCCACGCCCUAAACGAUGUCAACUAGUUGUUGGGGAUUCAUUUCCUUAGUAACGUAGCUAACGCGUGAAGUUGACCGCCUGGGGGAGUACGGUCGCAAGAUUAAAACUCAAAUGAAUUGACGGGGUCAUAGCUGUUUCCU